UACGGGGGGGGCAAGCGUUGUUCGGAAUUACUGGGCGUAAAGGGCGCGUAGGCGGCCUUCUAAGUCGAACGUGAAAUCCCUCGGCUUAACCGAGGAACUGCGUCCGAGACUGAAAGGCUUGAAUCCGGGAGAGGGAUGUGGAAUUCCAGGUGUAGCGGUGAAAUGCGUAGAUAUCUGGAGGAACACCGGUGGCGAAGGCGGCAUCCUGGACCGGCAUUGACGCUGAGGCGCGAAAGCCAGGGGAGCAAAGCGGG
rnacentral:rRNA from 1 species